rnacentral:rRNA from 1 species
UACGGAGGGGGCUAGCGUUGUUCGGAUUUAUUGGGCGUAAAGAGCGUGUAGGCGGUUUGGUAGGUCCGUUGUGAAAACUCGAGGCUCAACCUCGAGACGCCGGCGGAAACCAUCAGGCUAGAGUCCGGAAGAGGAGAGUGGAAUUCCUGGUGUAGCGGUGAAAUGCGCAGAUAUCAGGAAGAACACCCGUGGCUAAGGCGGCUCUCUAGUACGGUACUGACGCUGAGACGCGAAAGCGUGGGGAGCGAACAGG